rnacentral:rRNA from 1 species
UACCCGCUGGAACUUAAGCAUAUCAAUAAGCGGAGGAAAAGAAACCAACAGGGAUUGCCCUAGUAACGGCGAGUGAAGCGGCAACAGCUCAAAUUUGAAAUCUGGCGUCUUUGGCGUCCGAGUUGUAAUUUGCAGAGGGCGCUUUGGCAUUGGCAGCGGUCCAAGUUCCUUGGAACAGGACGUCACAGAGGGUGAGAAUCCCGUACGUGGUCGCUAGCCUUUACCGUGUAAAGCCCCUUCGACGAGUCGAGUUGUUUGGGAAUGCAGCUCUAAAUGGGAGGUAAAUUUCUUCUAAAGCUAAAUACUGGCCAGAGACCGAUAGCGCACAAGUAGAGUGAUCGAAAGAUGAAAAGCACUUUGGAAAGAGAGUUAAAAAGCACGUGAAAUUGUUGAAAGGGAAGCGCUUGCAGCCAGACUUGCCUGUAGUUGCUCAUCCGGGUUUUUACCCGGUGCACUCUUCUAUAGGCAGGCCAGCAUCAGUUUGGGCGGUUGGAUAAAGGUCUCUGUCAUGUACCUCCUUUCGGGGAGAUCUUAUAGGGGAGACGACAUGCAACCAGCCUGGACUGAGGUCCGCGCAUCUGCUAGGAUGCUGGCGUAAUGGCUGUAAGCGGCCCGUCUUGAAACACGGACCAAGGAGUCUAACAUCUAUGCGAGUGUUUGGGUGUCAAGCCCGAACGCGUAAUGAAAGUGAACGGAGGUGGGAACCUUUCGGGGUGCACCAUCGACCGAUCCUGAUGUCUUCGGAUGGAUUUGAGUAAGAGCAUAGCUGUUGGGACCCGAAAGAUGGUGAACUAUGCUUGAAUAGGGUGAAGCCAGAGGAAACUCUGGUGGAGGCUCGCAGCGGUUCUGACGUGCAAAUCGAUCGUCAAAUUUGGGCAUAGGGGCGAAAGACUAAUCG